rnacentral:rRNA from 1 species
GACGGAGGAUGCAAGUGUUAUCCGGAAUCACUGGGCGUAAAGCGUCUGUAGGUGGUUCAAUAAGUCAACUGUUAAAUCUUGAGGCUCAACUUCAAAAUCGCAGUCGAAACUAUUAAACUAGAGUAUAGUAGGGGUAAAGGGAAUUUCCAGUGGAGCGGUGAAAUGCGUAGAGAUUGGAAAGAACACCAAUGGCGAAAGCACUUUACUGGGCUAUUACUGACACUGAGAGACGAAAGCUAGGGUAGCAAAUGGG